rnacentral:rRNA from 1 species
UACGAAGGUGGCAAGCGUUACUCGGAAUUACUAGGCGUAAAGGGCAGGUAGGCGGUUUGGUUAGUCUGUUGUGAAAGCUCCUUGCUUAACGGGGAGAGGCCAACAGAUACUGCCAGACUUGAGUAUAGGAGAGGGUACUGGAAUUCCCGGUGUAGCGGUGAAAUGCGCAGAGAUCGGGAGGAACACCAAUGGCGAAGGCAGCUUGCUGGGACGACACUGACGCUGAGACGCGAAAGCGUGGGGAGCAAACAGG